CCCUACGGGGCGCAGCAGGCGCGCAAACUUUACAAUGCGAGCAAUCGUGAUAAGGAAACCCUGAGUGCCUGUCGAUGCAGGCUGUUCAUAUAUCUAAAUCAUAUGUGAAGAAAGGGCAGGGCAAGACCGGUGCCAGCCACCGCGGUAAUACCGGCUGCUCGAGUGAUGGCCACUAUUACUGGGUUUAAAGCGUCCGUAGCUGGACUGUUAGGUCCCUUGGGAAAUCUUCACGCUUAACGUGAAGGCGUCUAAGAGAUACCGGCAGUCUUGGAACUGGGAGAGGUAAACCGUACUUCGGGGGUAGGAGUGAAAUCUUGUAAUCCUCGAGGGACGACCUAUGGCGAAGGCAGUUUACCAGAACAGCUUCGACAGUGAGGGACGAAAGCUGGGGGAGCAAACGGGAUUAGAUACCCCGGUAGUCCCAGCCGUAAACAAUGUGCGUUAGGUGUGUCAGUAACCACGCGUUACUGAUGCGCCGAAGAGAAAUCGUGAAACGCACCACCUGGGAAGUACGGUCGCAAGGCUGAAACUUAAAGGAAUUGGCGGGGGAGCACCACAACAGGUGGAGCCUGCGGUUUAAUUGGAUUCAAUGCCGGACAUCUCACCGGAUAAGACAGCUGUAUGAUUGUCAAUCUGAAGGUUUUACAUGACUAGCUGAGAGGAGGUGCAUGGCCGUCGUCAGUUCGUACUGUGAAGCAUCCUGUUAAGUCAGGCAACGAGCGAGACCCA
rnacentral:rRNA from 1 species